UAAAAAUUAGUUAAUAUAUAAUAUAAGUUUGUCAAACUUAAGUAAUUUGAAUAAAUAUUUUUAU
rnacentral:tRNA from 2 species